rnacentral:tRNA from 4 species
GUAAAUAUAGUUUAACAAAAACAUUAGAUUGUGAGUCUAAUAAUAAAAGCCCAGGCCUUUUUAUUUACC